ensembl:lncRNA
UUCAGUGUUUUUCAGGCACUUAGAGGACAUUCCUUCACGGACAAAAAAUGUCACAAAGCAAAGAGCUUGUGAUCGCAAGUAGCCCUGACUUUGUUACGGAGCUUCUUCCAUCUGCUCAGCGUACGGCUUUGCUCUACCAUCUCUCUUACCUGGGUUUGGCUAAGUUCCCCAAGUUGGAGAGGAUUCUUAGAGAAUGUGCUGUUAAAUCCCAGCUUCUCUUUGGGUCCUCUGAAGCUCUUCUGCUGAAGUGUGCUGCCACAAGUAAAAACCUGGUUACCACGCUGUUGCCUGCACUGAAGGUUGCUGUUGAAAAGGAUAAAAGCAUUUUGGCCAUUAGGUCCGUGGAAAAAGCAAGAGCAUGGAUCACUGAAAUUGUUGACAAAGUGGAACAGAUGGCGAAUAGAUAUGAAGAACACAUCUUGAAUGUGAGUACAUGCACCAGUGAUGUGAAUGAUGUAAAGGCUGAGACAGAGGAAACAGACAAGAAAAUAUUUCAAGAAAUAGAGGCACUGAAGAAAGAGGUGCUCAAAGAAGAAGAGAAACUAAAGGAAACUAGUGAACAAAUUAAACAAAUUGAUGAAAUGAUUGCACUGAAAAACCAAGAACUGCAGAAUUAUAUCAGAGAGGCUUCUAAAAAACGUAAUCGUUUGGGCUUCUUCACUGCCCUGGUUCCUUUUGUUGGAGCAUUGGUUAAUGCGAUUUUUGGUGCUAAAAUUGACGCCGGUCUGGCUGCAAGAAUCCAGGCUGUUUCCAACGAGUUGUCUCGACUCUCCAAUGACAAGUCAAACCUGAAAAACUUAGAGUGGAGCAUCCAUGUCAGGUUGACUGAUAAGCAGCUGGAACUGGCACGCAAAACAAUAGAAAAAAAGUUAAUACCCAGCCCUGUCCAUCUGAAAGAUGUCCAUACUUGCCUCAGCCGAAUCCAACAAAUUCUGAUUCAGAUUAAGAAGUUCUGGGAAUCGGUGAGUGUAAUGCUGGAGACUCUCAAAGACGAAACCUUUGCUAAUGAACACUUCAUCGAGGAUAGUGAAAUGAAGGAAAUCUUUCUGGAAUCUAUUACUACAGCACAGCAGCAUUGGAAGGUCUUCGGUGAAUCCUGCCUGUAUGCUAAGGGCAUCUUUAGCUUGCAGAGUAAGAAUGCGUAUAAAUUCCUGGAGAUCAGCCCGUCUUCACUGUCACCAGAUGAAUGGCAAAAACAGUACAAUGCUGUCAUUGUGCAGCUGAACAAAAUAAGUCCUGAUCCCUUCACUCCCAGUGCUCGAGCUGCCAUUAGUAAUGUACUAGGUUAAGAAGCUGAAACAGUACAAGCAGGAUAACAGCUCUGAAUAAUGUGUUUCAUAUUUCUGAUGCUGUUUAAAUAAUUCUUUAAGUGAGAACUUUUCAGGAUUUUAAUUUCUCUAAUGCCAUAUCUCUGUUCCCUUCUGUGAUUAAAUUGUUCUGGGUUUCAAAACUAUAAAUAUUACUACAUAUUAUCAAUGCAUUUUAGAAUGCAACAAAAAAAAAAAAAACUACUGUAAAGGUUGGAAUACACACAACUUUGAACAAAUAAAAAGAAAUACUGAACAGAUUUAAAACA